CCUACGGGUGGCAGCAGUGGGGAAUAUUGCGCAAUGGGCGAAAGCCUGACGCAGCGACGCCGCGUGAGGGAUGAAGGUCUUCGGAUCGUAAACCUCUGUCAGCAGGGAAGAACGGUCACUGUGCUAAUCAGCAGUGAAUUGACGGUACCUGCAAAGGAAGCAUCGGCUAACUCCGUGCCAGCAGCCGCGGUAAUACGGAGGGUGCGAGCGUUAAUCGGAAUUACUGGGCGUAAAGCGCUCGUAGGCGGUAUGUCAAGUCAAGGGUGAAAUCCCCGCGCUCAACGUGGGAACUGCCUUUGAAACUGGCAGACUGGAGUGUGUGAGAGGAUAGUGGAAUUCCAGGUGUAGGAGUGAAAUCCGUAGAUAUCGGGAGGAACAUCAGUGGCGAAGGCGACUAUCUGGCACAUAACUGACGCUGAGGAGCGAAAGCGUGGGUAGCAAACAGGAUUAGAUACCCUGGUAGUC
rnacentral:rRNA from 1 species